rnacentral:rRNA from 1 species
GAUGAACGCUGGCGGCGUGCCUAAUACAUGCAAGUCGAGCGAACAGACGAGGAGCUUGCUCCUCUGACGUUAGCGGCGGACGGGUGAGUAACACGUGGAUAACCUACCUAUAAGACUGGGAUAACUUCGGGAAACCGGCGCUAAUACCGGAUAAUAUAUUGAACCGCAUGGUUCAAUAGUGAAAGACGGCUUUGCUGUCACUUAUAGAUGGAUCCGCGCCGCAUUAGCUAGUUGGUAGGGUAACGGCUUACCAAGGCAACGAUGCGUAGCCGACCUGAGAGGGUGAUCGGCCACACUGGAACGGAGACACGGUCCAGACUCCUACGGGAGGCAGCAGUAGGGAAUCUUCCGCAAUGGGCGAAAGCCUGACGGAGCAACGCCGCGUGAGUGAUGAAGGUCUUCGGAUCGUAAAACUCUGUUAUGAGGGAAGAACAAAUGUGUAAGUAACUAUGCACGUCUUGACGGUACCUAAUCAGAAAGCCACGGCUAACUACGUG